UAGGGCUACACACGUGCUACAAUGGCAUAUACAAAGAGAAGCGACCUCGCGAGAGCAAGCGGACCUCAUAAAGUAUGUCGUAGUCCGGAUUGGAGUCUGCAACUCGACUCCAUGAAGUCGGAAUCGCUAGUAAUCGUGGAUCAGAAUGCCACGGUGAAUACGUUCCCGGGCCUUGUACACACCGCCCGUCACACCAUGGGAGUGGGUUGCAAAAGAAGUAGGUAGCUUAACCUUCGGGAGGGCGCUUACCACUUUGUGAUUCAUGACUGGGGUGAAGUCGUAACAAGGUAACCGUAGGGGAACCUGCGGUUGGAUCACCUCCUU
rnacentral:rRNA from 1 species